rnacentral:rRNA from 1 species
GAUGAACGCUAGCGGCAGGCCUAACACAUGCAAGUCGAGGGGUAGAGGAAGCUUGCUUCCUUGAGACCGGCGCACGGGUGCGUAACGCGUAUGCAAUCUACCUUGUACAGAGGGAUAGCCCAGAGAAAUUUGGAUUAAUACCUCAUAGUAUUAUUGAAUGGCAUCAUUUAAUAAUUAAAGUUCCAACGGUACAAGAUGAGCAUGCGUCCUAUUAGCUAGUUGGUGUGGUAACGGCAUACCAAGGCUACGAUAGGUAGGGGUCCUGAGAGGGAGAUCCCCCACACUGGUACUGAGACACGGACCAGACUCCUACGGGAGGCAGCAGUGAGGAAUAUUGGACAAUGGGCGCAAGCCUGAUCCAGCCAUGCCGCGUGCAGGAAGACGCAUCUAUGGUGUGUAAACUGCUUUUGUACGGGAAGAAACACUCCCUCGUGAGGGAGCUUGACGGUACCGUAAGAAUAAGGAUCGGCUAACUCCGUGCCAGCCGCCGCCGUAACAC